rnacentral:rRNA from 1 species
AGCAGCCGCGGUAAUUCCAGCUCCAAUAGCGUAUAUUAAAGUUGUUGCAGUUAAAAAGCUCGUAGUUGAAUUUCGGGGUCAGCAAGUUGGUCGUGCCACCGGUAUGCACUGGCUUUGCUGAUUCCUCCUUCUUGUAGAACCGUAAUGCCAUUAAUUUGGUGUUGCGGGGAAACAGGACUGUUACUUUGAAAAAAUUAGAGUGUUUAAAGCAGGCUAACGCUUGAAUACAUUAGCAUGGAAUAAUGAAAUAGGACGACGAUCCUAUUUUGUUGGUUUCUAGGAUUGACGUAAUGAUUAAUAGGGAUAGUUGGGGGCAUUAGUAUUCAAUUGUCAGAGGUGAAAUUCUUGGAUUUAUUGAAGACUAACUACUGCGAAAGCAUUUGCCAAGGAUGUUUUCAUUAAUCAAGAACGAAAGUUAGGGGAUCGAAGACGAUCAGAUACCGUCGUAGUCUUAACCAUAAACUAUGCCGACUAGGGAUCGGAUGAUGUUAAUUUUAUAAUGACUCAUUCGGCGCCUUA